UUUGAGGAUUUGAUCCUGGUCCAGGAUGAACGCUAGCGGUGUGCUUUAAGCAUGCAAGUGGGACGAGUUGUAGCAAUACAACUAGUCGCGAACGGCUGAGUAUAAAAUAGGAAUCUACCCAAUGGUGUGGAAUACCUUAUCGAAAGAUGAGCUAAUACCACAUGACCUCGCAAGAGAAAAGGACUUAACUGUCCGCCGAUGGAUGAGCCUAUUUCCCAUCAGUUUGUUGGUAGGGUAAUGGCCUACCAAGACUAUGACGGGUAGGGGAUUUGAGAGGAUGACCCCCCAGAACAGGACUGAGACACGGCCUGUACACCUACGGGUGGCAGCAACUGGGAAUCGUGCGCAAUGGACGAAAGUCUGACGCCGCGACACCGCGUGAAGGAUGAAGGCCUUUUGGUCGUAAACUUCUUUUGCCAUAUGGGUGACCAUAUGGAGAAUAAGCACCUGCUAACUCUGUGCCAGCAGCCGCGGUAAUACAGAGGGUGCAAGCGUUAUCCGGAUUUAUUGGGCGUAGAGCGUUUCGUAGGCGGUUUGGUAAGUUAGACUUCAAAGACCACGGCUCAACCGGGGGAAGGGGUCUAAUACUGCCAGACUUGAGGGUUUUAGGGGCAAUCGGAACUGUUGGUGUAGGGGUGAAAUCCGUUGAUAUCAACAGGAACGUCAAGGGCGUAGGCAGAUUGCUGGGAAACUUCUGACGCUGAGGAACGAAAGCUAGGGGAGCGAAAGGGAUGGGGUUUAUAAACUCUAGAGAGACCCCUGUAGUCCUAGCCGUAAACUUUGCCUGCUAGCGAUCCGACUUUGGUCGGGUUGCGUAAGCUAACGCGUUAAGCGGGCCGCCUGGGGAGUACGAACGCAAGUUUAAAACUCAAAGGAAUUGACGGGAAGGCGCACAACCAGUGGAGCAUGUGGUUUAAUUCGAAACGAAACGAAGAACCUUACCCAGUCUUGACAUAUUACCGUUUUAGAUUGCCAGAAAUGGCGAUCGAUCCUUAAGUAAUUUUGGAUGGUAUUACAGGUGUUGCAUGGCCGUCGUCAGCUCGUGUCGUAAGGUGUUCCCUUCAGUGGGGUAACGAGCGCAACCCCUGCCCUGAGUUAAAUAAUCUCAGGGGACUUCCCUCAUUUAUUGCGGGAGGAAGUGGGGACGACGUCAGGUCAGCAUGGCCCUUAUGACUGGGGCAACACACAUACUACAAUGGAGCCGACAAUGGGUUGCCAAGCCGCAAGGCGGAGCUAAUCCCAUCAAACGGCUUCUCAGUUGGGAUUGAGGGCUGCAACUCGCCCUCAUGAACAUGGAAUUGGUAGUAAUCGCGGGUCAGCUAUACCGCGGUGAAUACGUUCUCGCCUUUUGUACACACCGCCCGUCAAGGCAGUAAAGUUAAAGGUACCCGAACUUCGAUUUUGUCGGAGGAAGGUAAAUUUAGCGAUAAGGCUUAAGUCGUAUGAACAAGGUAUCCCUACUGGAAGGUGGGGAUGGAUCACCUCCUU
rnacentral:rRNA from 2 species